UGACAUCUGCUCCCUGAGAGGUGACGUGGGAAGUCCUGCACUGUGAGUCCAUUGAGUAGGACACACCCAGGCCUCUUCUUUUCUCCAGGAUAUGUGCAAGAUGAGAGCCAGCCAUCGUCUCCUGAUAGUGGAGAUUUGAUCUGAAGCAUUCAAAUAGGAAAUGAAUGCUCAGAGGAAGCUUCAAAUUUCUUUCUACUUGAAGAAGCUGAAUUGCAGAAGCUAUCUCUGUCCUGUUAAUCACUGGGUCCACAGUGAAACCAGCCAACUUCAGAGAAGACUCUUGUGCUGCGUGACCCCUGACUGUAACCAAGUGUCCUUCUCUCUGAGACGUUCCCUCGGAGCUUGUUCUCACAGCCCUCACCUCCAGUGACCUCCACGAACUUUUCCACACGAGGGGUUCUCUGCUUCCCUCCAUCUGAGCUGCGCAAUUCCACCAGGCCUUU
ensembl:lincRNA Gm43733 predicted gene 43733